rnacentral:rRNA from 1 species
AUUGAACGCUGGCGGCAUGCCUUACACAUGCAAGUCGAACGGUAACGGGCCUUCGGGUGCCGACGAGUGGCGAACGGGUGAGUAAUGCAUCGGAACGUACCUUUCAGUGGGGGAUAACGUAGCGAAAGUUACGCUAAUACCGCAUAUUCUGUGCGCAGGAAAGCAGGGGAUCGCAAGACCUUGCGCUGAUUGAGCGGCCGAUGUCAGAUUAGCUAGUUGGUGAGGUAAAGGCUCAUCAAGGCGACGAUCUGUAGCGGGUCUGAGAGGAUGAUCCGCCACACUGGAACUGAGACACGGUCCAGACUCCUACGGGAGGCAGCAGUGGGGAAUUUUGGACAAUGGGCGCAAGCCUGAUCCAGCCAUGCCGCGUGAGUGAAGAAGGCCUCGGUUGUAA